GCACGCCCUGUGGGUCGCAAGAGCCACAGGGAGUGGCGGACGGGUGAGUAACACAUGGGUGACCUACCCUUUGGUGAGGAAUACCGGCGAGAAAUCGCCGACAAGACCGCAUGCGCUUUCGUGGCUGGAGCGACGAAAGCAAAGCCUUUCUUCGGAGAGGCGCCAGAGGAGGGGCCUGUGGCCGAUUAGCUGGUUGGUGGGGUAAGAGCUCACCAAGGCGACGAUCGGUAGCUGGUCUGAGAGGACGAGCAGCCACACUGGGAUUGAGAACGGCCCAGACUCCUACGGGGGGCAGCAGUGAGGAAUUUUCCGCAAUGGGCGCAAGCCUGACGGAGCAACGCCGCGUGCAGGAGGACGCGUUUCGACGUGUAAACUGCUUUUCUGUGGGACGAGGCAAGGGACGGUACCACAGGAAGAAGCCCCGGCUAACUACGUG
rnacentral:rRNA from 1 species